rnacentral:rRNA from 1 species
GUUAAGCGACUAAGCGUACACGGUGGAUGCCCUGGCAGUCAGAGGCGAUGAAGGACGUGCUAAUCUGCGAUAAGCGUCGGUAAGGUGAUAUGAACCGUUAUAACCGGCGAUUUCCGAAUGGGGAAACCCAGUGUGUUUCGACACACUAUCAUUAACUGAAUCCAUAGGUUAAUGAGGCGAACCGGGGGAACUGAAACAUCUAAGUACCCCGAGGAAAAGAAAUCAACCGAGAUUCCCCCAGUAGCGGCGAGCGAACGGGGAGCAGCCCAGAGCCUGAAUCAGUGUGUGUGUUAGUGGAAGCGUCUGGAAAGGCGCGCGAUACAGGGUGACAGCCCCGUACACAAAAAUGCACAUGCUGUGAGCUCGAUGAGUAGGGCGGGACACGUGGUAUCCUGUCUGAAUAUGGGGGGACCAUCCUCCAAGGCUAAAUACUCCUGACUGACCGAUAGUGAACCAGUACCGUGAGGGAAAGGCGAAAAGAACCCCGGCGAGGGGAGUGAAAAAGAACCUGAAACCGUGUACGUACAAGCAGUGGGAGCACGCUUAGGCGUGUGACUGCGUACCUUUUGUAUAAUGGGUCAGCGACUUAUAUUCUGUAGCAAGGUUAACCGAAUAGGGGAGCCGAAGGGAAACCGAGUCUUAACUGGGCGUUAAGUUGCAGGGUAUAGACCCGAAACCCGGUGAUCUAGCCAUGGGCAGGUUGAAGGUUGGGUAACACUAACUGGAGGACCGAACCGACUAAUGUUGAAAAAUUAGCGGAUGACUUGUGGCUGGGGGUGAAAGGCCAAUCAAACCGGGAGAUAGCUGGUUCUCCCCGAAAGCUAUUUAGGUAGCGCCUCGUGAAUUCAUCUCCGGGGGUAGAGCACUGUUUCGGCAAGGGGGUCAUCCCGACUUACCAACCCGAUGCAAACUGCGAAUACCGGAGAAUGUUAUCACGGGAGACACACGGCGGGUGCUAACGUCCGUCGUGAAGAGGGAAACAACCCAGACCGCCAGCUAAGGUCCCAAAGUCAUGGUUAAGUGGGAAACGAUGUGGGAAGGCCCAGACAGCCAGGAUGUUGGCUUAGAAGCAGCCAUCAUUUAAAGAAAGCGUAAUAGCUCACUGGUCGAGUCGGCCUGCGCGGAAGAUGUAACGGGGCUAAACCAUGC